GAGCUUCUGGGCUGCUGAACACGUGGAGGUGCUGGGAGAGUGGUACACCCCUUCUCACAUACCUUUCUCUAUACAUCUCUUCCAUCUGGAUGUUCAUCUAUGGAGUGUAAACAUUAUAUUUGCAUCGAAAGCAAGUAAGCACAGCCAGAUUGAUGCUUCGAGUGCAACUGUGGACUGGCAGGAUCAGCCCUGCCUGGGACCAGGAGGCAAGCAGGCAGAGAAAAGCUCACAGACCCAUAGAGGACCAGAGCUUGCCAGCAGUCACCCAGGAUCCUGGUAACCUGACGGUGUGCUCUUGGUCCUCCUGGUUCUGCUAUGUGGGAUGCCGCCUGAGAAUGGCCUGAUGAGUGGUGCCAUGUCUGUGCCCAGGAUCUGAACCGGCGAAACCCUGGGCCGCAGAAGCGGAAGCAGAGCGUGUGAACCCAACUACUCGGCCUCUGGCCUGCUCCACAUCCGGGGAUUUUAAAGGGCUGACUGCUGAAGGGAGAGUAUAAAGCAAGGAUGUCAGCUUUCCUUCCAUUUCAAACCCAGCCCCAAAGCUAUUUAAGCCAGUGCACAUAGCGUUACUCAACAGCUCUUUGAUGAUUGAAUGAAUAAAUUUGCGGUAACAAAAGGAAGAUUGAGAUUUCAGAACACUGUGGGGUAUGUUGAACAUUGAUUCUCUGAUCUCAGAGAAAAGAAAACAGAAAGGCAAUUUUCCUCUAAUUUCAAUCAGAAUAUUUUGCAGAUGAAAGGGAUCUUAGUGAUCAUUCGGUUUCCUUGUUACUUUACAAAUAGGAAUUUAAUGACUUGCAUUUCUUCCUGUCUGAACCUUGGUUCAAUAAUGUAUACUCAAAUAUUUUCGUUUCAUUAUUUCAUUUUGGAAUUGAAUAGAAUACCUUGGAAAGAUACCUAAACUGCUCUUUCCUCAUAUUUCCCAUUCCUUGCUCAUGUUUCCUGAAUGUUUGCCUGUGGAGUGGCUCAUUAAGCUGUGAAACAGGUAGUAGAUUUGGGGCCUUUGUGCUUGAAUCCCGAGGCUUGCCAUUGGCUCAGGACUUCUCAAGUGGGCCCCUUGACAGUUAGGAAAACUGCCUGAAGUUUAGAUUUUCAAAUACUGACUAUUUUGCCAGGGCUGUUUUGAUAAAUGCAAAUUAAAAAACAACGCACAGCUGCCCCCCAUUUCUUUUUUAAAAGCUAUUACAUGCUGCUAACUAUUAAGUAAUUUAGAUAAUCUAGGAUGUUAAUAAUCAAGGCCUGUGCUCCAAAACAACACACAGCAAAUAGAUGCAGGAUUGUGGUCCAGCUCCAGCUCUUAGAAAAGUGAAGUGAGAGGCACCAAACUGGCCAUGAGGCUUUGGGUACAUCGCUCAAACUGUUGCAGCCUCACACAGCUUGAACUGUGUUCAGCACAUAGUAGCGUCUUAAUAAAUACUUGUUGAAG
rnacentral:lncRNA from 1 species